rnacentral:rRNA from 1 species
AGCUCCAAUAGCGUAUAUUAAAGUUGUUGCAGUUAAAAAGCUCGUAGUUGGAUUUCUGGCAGGAGCGGCCGGCCACGCGCUCUGCGCGUGAGUUUGCGCUGUCUCUGGCCAUCCUCGGGGAGAUCGCGUUUGGCAUUAAGUUGUCGGGCGUGGGAUGCCCGUCGUUUACUGUGAAAAAAUUAGAGUGUUCAAAGCAGGCAUUCAUCGUGCCCGAAUACAUGAGCAUGGAAUAAUGGAACAGGACUACGGUCACUGCACUUUUUCCGUUGGUUUCGGAGGACCGAAGUAAUGAUUAAGAGGGACAGUUGGGGGCAUCCGUAUUUCGUAGUCAGAGGUGAAAUUCUUGGAUCUGCGAAAGACGAACGAGUGCGAAAGCAUUUGCCAAGAGUGUUUUCAUUAA